UACGUAGGGUGCAAGCGUUGUCCGGAAUUAUUGGGCGUAAAGAGCUCGUAGGCGGUUCGUCGCGUCGGCUGUGAAACCCGGAGCUCAACUCCGGGCCUGCAGUCGAUACGGGCGGACUUGAGUGGUUGCAGGGGAGACUGGAAUUCCUGGUGUAGCGGUGAAAUGCGUAGAUAUCGGGAGGAACACCGGUGGCGAAGGCGACUCUUUGGCCUGUAACUGACGCUGAGGCGCGAAAGCGAUGGGGAGCAAACAGGGAUUAAGAAACCCGUAGUACGUCC
rnacentral:rRNA from 1 species